ensembl:ncRNA Y119D3B.25 ncRNA
CACUAGCGGUUCAUGAGUUAUGCGCCUUUAAAGAUGGAGCGGUAUCUCAGGCUCUCCUCUCGGCCUAGCUUUAAAGGCGCAUAGCUCUGCGACGAGUAGAGCUAUAGAAAAGUUGCUAACUUAUAAAAAAUGCAGAAUUUUA